CCUAACACAUGCAAGUCGAACGGUAACAGGAAGCAUCUUGCUGCUUCGCUGACGAGUGGCGGACGGGUGAGUAAUGUCUGGGAAGCUGCCUGAUGGAGGGGGAUAACUACUGGAAACGGUAGCUAAUACCGCAUAAUGUCGCAAGACCAAAGAGGGGGACCUUCGGGCCUCUUGCCAUCGGAUGUGCCCAGAUGGGAUUAGCUUGUUGGUGGGGUAACGGCUCACCAAGGCGACGAUCCCUAGCUGGUCUGAGAGGAUGACCAGCCACACUGGAACUGAGACACGGUCCAGACUCCUACGGGAGGCAGCAGUGGGGAAUAUUGCACAAUGGGCGCAAGCCUGAUGCAGCCAUGCCGCGUGUAUGAAGAAGGCCUUCGGGUUGUAAAGUACUUUCAGCGGGGAGGAAGGGAGUAAAGUUAAUACCUUUGCUCAUUGACGUUACCCGCAGAAGAAGCACCGGCUAACUCCGUGCCAGCAGCCGCGGUAAUACGGAGGGUGCAAGCGUUAAUCGGAAUUACUGGGCGUAAAGCGCACGCAGGCGGUUUGUUAAGUCAGAUGUGAAAUCCCCGGGCUCAACCUGGGAACUGCAUCUGAUACUGGCAAGCUUGAGUCUCGUAGAGGGGGGUAGAAUUCCAGGUGUAGCGGUGAAAUGCGUAGAGAUCUGGAGGAAUACCGGUGGCGAAGGCGGCCCCCUGGACGAAGACUGACGCUCAGGUGCGAAAGCGUGGGAGCAAACAGGAUUAGAUACCCUGGUAGUCCACGCCGUAAACGAUGUCGACUUGGAGGUUGUGCCCUUGAGGCGUGGCUUCCGGAGCUAACGCGUUAAGUCGACCGCCCUGGGGAGUACGGCCGCAAGGUUAAAACUCAAAUGAAUUGACGGGGGCCCGCACAAGCGGUGGAGCAUGUGGUUUAAUUCGAUGCAACGCGAAGAACCUUACCUGGUCUUGACAUCCACGGAAGUUUUCAGAGAUGAGAAUGUGCCUUCGGGAACCGUGAGACAGGUGCUGCAUGGCUGUCGUCAGCUCGUGUUGUGAAAUGUUGGGUUAAGUCCCGCAACGAGCGCAACCCUUAUCCUUUGUUGCCAGCGGUCCGGCCGGGAACUCAAAGGAGACUGCCAGUGAUAAACUGGAGGAAGGUGGGGAUGACGUCAAGUCAUCAUGGCCCUUACGACCAGGGCUACACACGUGCUACAAUGGCGCAUACAAAGAGAAGCGACCUCGCGAGAGCAAGCGGACCUCAUAAAGUGCGUCGUAGUCCGGAUUGGAGUCUGCAACUCGACUCCAUGAAGUCGGAAUCGCUAGUAAUCGUGGAUCAGAAUGCCACGGUGAAUACGUUCCCGGGCCUUGUACACACCGCCCGUCACACCAUGGGAGUGGGUUGCAAAAGAAGUAGGUAGCUUAACCUUCGGGAGGGCGCUUACCACUUUGUGAUUCAUGACUGGGGUGAAA
rnacentral:rRNA from 1 species